rnacentral:lncRNA from 1 species
UCUCUUCCGUCUUCUCGUAGAAUCCAACACCCCGUCGCCGGCGAUUGAUAACUCCAACGCCGCGUUGAAUUCCGAUCUCGUCGUCAUCCUCGCUGCUCUCCUCUGCGCUUUGAUAUGUGUUCUCGGCUUAAUCGCCGUUUCUCGAUGCGUCUGGCUCCGUCGUUUUGCAGCCGGAAACAGAACAGCCUCCGGAUCUCAAGGUCAAUCUCCUCCACCUCCAGUCGCAGCGGCGAACAAAGGCCUGAAGAAGAAGGUUCUCCAAUCUCUCCCGAAACUUGCC